ensembl:lncRNA
CGGUAACAAGAGGAAAAAGAGGAAGGAGGAGGAGGGCCUGCAGCAGAGAGGCGAGCAGAGGAAUACAUGGAGGAAGAGAGAGCAGAAGAAGAAGGGAUGGAUUGAUCACCAUUGGGAAAGAAAAACGGAGCAAGAGUGUGUUUUAUUUCGGAGAGAUGAUGGUGAUGAUGAUGAUGAUGAUGAUGAUGAUGAUGACAGCGGCAGAGAGAGGGACGGAUCAAUAAUCCUCUUCAUCCCUCCAUCACCUCUGCAGAAACCUAAUCUGGAUCUCCAUCCAGUGAGAUCAAACUGAAGCUGACUCCCAGAUGCCUCGCUGCAUCAGGGAAGAAGACAAACAUCUGACAUGACCUUUUCCCUAAGCGCAUCACUUCCUGUGACCGAGCACCGGCAGGACGCCGGGCCGAGUCCUGCAGCUGAACCUACGCUCUCCACUUCCACAACGAUCACCAGGAGAUGAUCUUCCACCAACUUUACUUUUUCUUUCUGUGGAUCUUUGGGUUUAUUUCUCAAAGUCUGCUUGUUGACGGAGAGUGUCUGAGCUGACUUCUCGUCUCGUUUCCUGCUCAGAAUACUCUUCAUUUGGAGAAAUACCACAGCGGUUUAUAAUCUGACCUGGGAUUUUAUUUUGACGCACAUCAGGGUAAGCGCUGGUUUGUACGCUCUGUUUGGAAGUUCGUACACGGUGUACAGAUUGCUUUCCACUUGGAAAAACUCUUCACAGACAAUCUUUCAGUCGCUCAACAAUGAUAACGUGUGAUUUCUUUGACGCAGAGCGACAAAUAAAGUCUCUGCCAGCUGUGAUUUCCACAUCUGCUUCCUGGAAACAAAUGUGAUUUCCUGCAUGAAGUGCAAAGAGUGGAUACACCUGACUCACUGACAAACACAAAGACAAACUGUUUCCGUAGGCGUGUUCUCUGUGUUUGUUGUGUUUUUAACACUGUGAUGGGUGUGACCCCCGACAGAAACUCCUGACUGACCGAACUGGGGGAUGCUCCACGACUUGAUGAAGCUCUCUGAUUGGAGCAAGCGAGGACAAGCGCCAUCUUGAUCUUUACAUCAGAUCUAGAAGAAGAAGUCCUCUCCCCCCCCACUUACCUCUGGUGGGGGGGAGGGUGAAGUGUAGUUUAGUUUUGAGGGUAUAGGGCUCCGGGCCAGUGGGCAUAGUUAUUUAGACUUUUAGGUUGUAGAUUAGACUUUAGAGUUCGUAGAAGAGUCCAGUUUCUUCUCUGUUGUGUUGGGAUUAAGUUAAGUAAUAAGUAGUCGUAGUUUUGGUCCAGAUUCUUCUCUGUGUUGAGAUUUAGAAUAUUAAUGAUUAUAACUUUAUUUAUAAAGCAGCUUUACAAAGUGUUUUGACGGACAAAGCAACACAAAUGCACGAUCUCCAGAGAGUUAGCAUUUAGCUCUGCAUCAGAUGAAGUUGUGACUCAUUUCAUGCAGAAGUUUAGCAUUUAGCUUCAGCGUACAAACUGGAUCUAACAGCCGACAGCGUUUAGGCUCCUUCGUUUAGACGUUAGCAUAGGAAACCUUAGUCACGGCUGUCAUUUAGCCUGACGUUUUCUCACCGUUAGCCUGCGUGCU